AUUGGUCGUGUAAACAUCAUUCACGUGUUGCUUGGUUGUGUAACGUCUUUCACGUGUUUCUUUCGAAUGUUUAUGCAUUGUUCAUCAUGGGGAAGACAAAAGUAGAGGAGAGAAAAGGGAUAAAAGCAAAAAAUAGGCGUGCCUCGAAACCGAGAAACAGCAAAAAGAAGCCGCAGAAUCGAUACGUGUUAGAAGGAGAAAGUGAGAGUGUCAGUACAUCGGCAAAGAAACUGAAACAGAGUGAAGAUGAAUAUCAUAUCAAUGUGGACGCAACUACUGGUUAUCGUUUCAUCGAUUUUGUGACUGUUUUUGCAGCAAUGUCUGAAUUUCUAGUGUGCAAAGUGUGUAAAUCUCCCGUAAAGUUUCAAGAAGCAAGUAUUCGAGGAUUGGGUUUCAAAAUUGCAGUUCUUUGUGAACAAUGCUCACCGAAAUAUAUAAAGUCGUGUCCCGUCAUAAAUAAUCAUGCAUAUGAUAUAAAUCGUCGUAUAGUUUUUGUUAUGCGAUUGCUCGGUGUUGGUGUAAAUGGAAUUAAAAAAUUCUGUUCAUUCAUGUGUCUACUACAUCCAGUAUUCCAGUUAUUUUAUGACAAAAUCGUUUCGACUAUUUCUAUUGCUACCGCAGCCGUACGAGAGAAAUCAAUGAAGAACGCAGCUGCUAAAGAGAAAGAAUUGUCAGUACAGAAGGGACUUACAGAAGGAAUAGUAGUUUCAGGCGACGGCAUGUGGAAGAAGAGGGGAUUCUCGUCUUUAUUAGGCGUUACGUCAUUGAUAGGAUGGUGCACCGGGAAAGUCAUUGAUGUUAAUGUAAAGUCGAAAAUAUGUAAUCAAUGCAAUUACUGGAAAGGAAAAGAAGGAACGGCAGAAUACGAAGAAUGGACUGCGACACACGAAGAUAGCUGUCAAAAAAAUCACGAGGGAUUGGCUGGAAAAAUGGAGGUUGACGCAAUUAUUGAAAUGUUUCAACGAUCAGACGAACUCCAUAGUUUGAAAUAUAGUCACUACAUAGGGGAUGGAGACAGUAAAACAUAUAAAGCAAUACGCAGGAAUCAUGAUUCAAUUGUAAACAUGAAGAAAGAAAUAUGGGCCACGCUUUAUCAUAAGAUUUCUACGGAUGACAACCCGCAGUACGAUAGAUGUCCAGAUGGCGAAAAUUCCUGGUGCUCAUGGAAACAGGCUAAAGCUCGCAACGAACUUGACAAUUAUCAACACAAACCAACAAUGAAAGAUGAAGUUUUCAAUGCUGUUAAACCCAUUUAUGAAGAAUUGUGCCGCGAUGAACUAUUAUCUCGGUGCUUGGGCGGGUUUACGCAGAACAGCAACGAGUGCUUCAAUUCUGUUCUGUGGGCUCUCGCUCCUAAACCUAUGUCCAGUGGCAAAAAAAUCGUUGACAUUGCUGCUGAUAUUGCAAGAGCGGAAGGUUCGAUGACUGAAGCUGUUCGAGAGGCUAGAAGAAGUGGUAUUUCUGCUCGCAAGCUUACCAAUGAAGAGGAUAUAGAUGCUGAAGGAGUAUUGCAUGGCGCAGGCAUUGCAGAUUGACGCGGAUUGACUUGAAACUUUGCACAAUUCUUCCCCGUGGUAUAAUCUGACGAUGAGCCACGUACAGAGCGGAAUUUGACACGCCGUCUAACAGUGUUCCUCCAAAGGAAUGUAUUUUGGCGCCAUCUACAAGAGAUUAUUUUUGACUUUUUCAGUUUCAAAAAAUGUAUAAUUACAGAUUAAAGUUACAUUAAUGAAUGACUAAAACCGAUUUUGUUUCUGCGCACUCUUUGUAUGCAAAAAAAAAUUCAUGAGAAACGCCUUCAAAAUCGCAGUCAAGGAUGGUAUCCUGCCUUAAGUUCCAAGCCUCAUAAUUCGAAAAGUACUCGAUGAAAUGUAACUUUGUUAGAGUGUUUUG
rnacentral:misc_RNA from 1 species